rnacentral:rRNA from 1 species
GUGCCAGCAGCCGCGGUAAUACGGAGGGAGCUAGCGUUGUUCGGAAUUACUGGGCGUAAAGCGCGCGUAGGCGGUUAUUCAAGUCAGAGGUGAAAGCCCGGWGCUCAACUCCGGGACGGCCUUUKAWACUAGAUGACUAGAAUCUCGGAGAGGUCAGUGGAAUUCCGAGUGUAGAGGUGAAAUUYGUAGAUAUUCGGAAGAACACCAGUGGCGAAGACGGCUCACUGGACUGGUAUUGACGCUGAGGUGCGAAAGCBUGGGGAGCAAACAGGAUUAGAUACCCUGGUAGUCCACGCCGUAAACGAUGAUAACUAGCUGUCCGGGCACUUKGUGCUUAGGUGGCGCA